rnacentral:rRNA from 1 species
UACGUAGGGACCAAGCGUUGUUCGGAUUUAUUGGGCGUAAAGCGCACGUAGGCGGCUUGGCAAGUCGGAUGUGAAAGCCCACGGCUCAACCAUGGAAGUGCAUCCGAAACUGCUGAGCUUGAGUACUUAAGAGGAUCGCGGAAUUCCCGGUGUAGAGGUGAAAUUCGUAGAUAUCGGGAGGAACACCAGUGGCGAAGGCGGCGAUCUGGGAAGAUACUGACGCUGAGGUGCGAAAGCGUGGGGAGCAAACAGG